CUUCCACCGGCUGGAGGAUAUUACAUCUCUCAGUUACUGUCACGGGAGAGUGUGCAUUGACAACGUACUCAGAAGAUUAUGUUCCACCAUAUGAUUAUCAGCCACAUGCUUAUCCCUGUCAAGAUGAUUAUUCCAUAGUCCACAGAAAAUGCCGUUCUCAGUUCACGGAUCUAAAUGGUUCUAAAAGAUUUGGCAUCAACACUUGGCAUGAUGAGAGUGGGAUUUAUGCUAAUUCAGAUGUAAAACAGAAACUCUAUCCCUUGACUAGUGGGCCUAUUGUGCCAAUUUAAAAA
rnacentral:lncRNA from 1 species